CCUACGGGGUGCAGCAGUGGGGAAUAUUGGGCAAUGGACGAAACUCUGACCCAGCAACGCCGCGUGAAUGAUGAAGGUCUUCGGAUUGUAAAGUUCUUUUCUAAGGGAAGAAGAAAGUGACGGUACCUUAUGAAUAAGCCUCCGCUAACUACGUGCCAGCAGCCGCGGUAAUACGUAGGAGCCAAGCGUUAUCCGGAGUGACUGGGCGUAAAGGGAGCGUAGGUGGUUUGAAAAGUGGGUGGCGAAACUCCGAGGCUUAACCUGGGCACUGCUACCAAAACUGUUGGACUCGAGUGCAGGAGGGGAGAAUGGAACUCCUUGUGUAGCGGUGGAAUGCGUAGAUAUAAGGAGGAACACCAGUGGCGAAGGCGAUUUGCUGGACUGUAACUGACGCUGAGGUACGAAAGUGUGGGGAGCAAACAGGAUUAGAUACCCGUGUAGUC
rnacentral:rRNA from 1 species